rnacentral:rRNA from 1 species
UACGUAGGGGGCGAGCGUUAUCCGGAUUUACUGGGUGUAAAGGGAGCGCAGACGGGACAGCAAGCCAGAUGUGGAAGCCCCGGGCAUAACCCGGGGAGUGCAUUUGGAACUGUUGACCUUGAGUGCCGGAGGGGUAAGCGGAAUUCCCAGUGUAGCGGUGAAAUGCGUAGAUAUUGGGAAGAACACCGGUGGCGAAGGCGGCUUACUGGACGGUAACUGACGUUGAGGCUCGAAAGCGUGGGGAG